rnacentral:rRNA from 1 species
GACGAACGCUGGCGGCGUGCUUAACACAUGCAAGUCGAACGGAAAGGCCAUGCUCUUGUUGGGUGCUCGAGUGCCGAACGGGUGAGUAACACGUGAGUAACCUGCCCUUGUCUUUGGGAUAACUUCACGAAACAGGGGCUAAUACCGGAUAGGAGCUCCUGAUGCAUGGUGGGGGUUGGAAAGUUUCGGUGGUUGGGGAUGGACUCGCUGCUUAUCAGCUUGUUGGGCGGGUAGUGGCUUACAAAGGCUUUGACGGGUAGGCUGCCUGAGAGGGUGACCGGCGACAUUGGGCCUGAGGUACGGACCAGACUCCUACCGGCGGCAGCAGUGGGGAAUCUUGCACAAUGGGGGGAAGCCUGAUGCAGCAGCGCCGCGUGCGUGAUAACGGCCUACGGGUUAUAAACCACUUUCGCCUGUGACGAAGCGUGAGUGACGGUAAUGGGUAAAAAAGCACCGGCUAACUACGUG